GCUGCCCCAGGAUAUCACAUGGCCAAAAUGAUCAUAAAGCUGAUCACUUCAGUGGCAGAUGUGGUGAACAAUGACCCCAUGGUUGGAAGCAAGUUGAAAGUCAUCUUCUUGGAGAACUACAGAGUAUCUCUUGCUGAAAAAGUCAUUCCAGCCACAGAUCUGUCAGAGCAGAUUUCCACUGCAGGCACCGAAGCCUCGGGGACAGGCAAUAUGAAGUUCAUGCUAAAUGGGGCCCUAACCAUCGGGACCAUGGAUGGGGCCAACGUGGAAAUGGCAGAAGAAGCCGGGGAAGAGAACCUGUUCAUCUUUGGCAUGAGGGUAGAUGAUGUGGCUGCUUUGGACAAGAAAGGGUACGAGGCAAAAGAAUACUAUGAGGCACUUCCAGAGCUGAAGCUGGUCAUUGAUCAAAUUGACAAUGGCUUUUUUUCUCCCAAGCAGCCUGACCUCUUCAAAGAGAUCAUCAACAUGCUAUUUUAUCAUGACAGGUUUAAAGUCUUUGCAGACUAUGAAGCCUAUGUCAAGUGUCAAGAUAAAGUGAGUCAGCUGUACAUGGUGAGUAAAUUGCCAAGAUUUAUAGAGAAAACCAGUUUACUAUGAUUCAUUAAAAUGUGGGUUUUUAAAUUAAAUCUAAAUAGCAGAUCCCCAUUAAGCAAUCAAAAAAAC
rnacentral:sRNA from 1 species